rnacentral:rRNA from 1 species
UACGUAGGGGGCAAGCGUUGUCCGGAAUCAUUGGGCGUAAAGCGCGUGUAGGCGGCCCGGUAAGUCCGCUGUGAAAGCCCAGGGCUCAACCCUGGGAUGCCGGUGGAUACUGUCGGGCUAGAGUCCGGAAGAGGCGAGUGGAAUUCCUGGUGUAGCGGUGAAAUGCGCAGAUAUCAGGAGGAACACCAAUGGCGAAGGCAGCUCGCUGGGACGUGACUGACGCUGAGACGCGAAAGCGUGGGGAGCAAACAGG